CACGUAGGGCGCAAGCGUUGUCCGGAAUUAUUGGGCGUAAAGAGCUCGUAGGCGGUCUGUCGCGUCGGUCGUGAAAACUUGGGGCUUAACCCUGAGCUUGCGGUCGAUACGGGCAUGACUGGAGUUCGGCAGGGGAGACUGGAAUUCCUGGUGUAGCGGUGAAAUGCGUAGAUAUCGGGAGGAACACCAGUGGCGAAGGCGGUUGCCUGGAGCUUUGCUGACGCUGAGGCGCGAAAGCGUGGGGAGCGAUCCGG
rnacentral:rRNA from 1 species